GACGAACGCUGGCGGCGUGCUUAACACAUGCAAGUCGAACGGAAAGGCCCUGCUUUUGUGGGGUGCUCGAGUGGCGAACGGGUGAGUAACACGUGAGUAACCUGCCCUUGACUUUGGGAUAACUUCAGGAAACUUGGGCUAAUACCGGAUAGGAGCUCCUGCUGCAUGGUGGGGGUUGGAAAGUUUCGGCGGUUGGGGAUGGACUCGCGGCUUAUCAGCUUGUUGGUGGGGUAGUGGCUUACCAAGGCUUUGACGGGUAGCCGGCCUGAGAGGGUGACCGGGCACAUUGGGACUGAGAUACGGCCCAGACGCCGACGGGAGGCAGCAGUGGGGAAUAGUGCACAAUGGGCGGAAGCCUGAUGCAGCAACGCCGCGUGCGGGAUGACGGCCUUAGGGUUGUAAACCGCUUUCGCCUGUGACGAAGCGUGAGUGACGGUAAUGGGGAAAGAAGCACCGGCUAACUACGU
rnacentral:rRNA from 1 species